AAGGAGAAGCAAAAUACGGUAAUCGAGGAGCCGAUUGAGAUUGAGGAAAAAGAAGCAACUCGCAAAGAACCACCAUCACCCACAGUGAUCCCGCGAGUCCCUCAAGUCCCAUAUCCCCAAAAGCUUAAAAAGAAGAAGCUCGAUGCGGAGCACCAAGGAUUCUUGGACAAGCUGAAGGAAAUCCACAUCAACAUUCCGUUUAUCGAAGCCAUUCAAAAGAUGCCAAAGUGGGUGAAAUUCCUCAAGGAGCUCGUAACAAAGAGGAAUAAAUUGCAAGGGAACGAGAUCAUCCAACUCACGGAGCAAUGCAGUGAAAUCCUUGUACGACCCCUUCCACAAAAACUCGGCGAUCCAGGUAAGUUCACUAUCCCUUGCACUAUUGGAGGAAGAAAUUUUAGGUCACUCCUUGAUUUAGGUGCUAGCAUUAAUCUUAUGCCUUAUUCCAUUUA